ACAGGAUUAGAUACCCUGGUAGUCCACGCUGUAAACGAUGUCGACUUGGAGGUUGUGCCCUUGAGGCGUGGCUUCCGGAGCUAACGCGUUAAGUCGACCGCCUGGGGAGUACGGCCGCAAGGUUAAAACUCAAAUGAAUUGACGGGGGCCCGCACAAGCGGUGGAGCAUGUGGUUUAAUUCGAUGCAACGCGAAGAACCUUACCUACUCUUGACAUCCAGAGAAUUCGCUAGAGAUAGCUUAGUGCCUUCGGGAACUCUGAGACAGGUGCUGCAUGGCUGUCGUCAGCUCGUGUUGUGAAAUGUUGGGUUAAGUCCCGCAACGAGCGCAACCCUUAUCCUUUGUUGCCAGCACGUAAUGGUGGGAACUCAAAGGAGACUGCCGGUGAUAAACCGGAGGAAGGUGGGGAUGACGUCAAGUCAUCAUGGCCCUUACGAGUAGGGCUACACACGUGCUACAAUGGCAUAUACAAAGAGAAGCAAACUCGCGAGAGCAAGCGGACCUCAUAAAGUAUGUCGUAGUCCGGAUUGGAGUCUGCAACUCGACUCCAUGAAGUCGGAAUCGCUAGUAAUCGUAGAUCAGAAUGCUACGGUGAAUACGUUCCCGGGCCUUGUACACACCGCCCGUCACACCAUGGGAGUGGGUUGCAAAAGAAGUAGGUAGCUUAACCUUCGGGAGGGCGCUUACCACUUUGUGAUUCAUGACUGGGGUGAAGUCGUAACAAGGUAACC
rnacentral:rRNA from 1 species